rnacentral:rRNA from 1 species
UGGUAAGGCUAAAUACUCCCUAGAGACCGAUAGUGAACCAGUACCGUAAGGGAAAGGUGAAAAGCACUUCGAAUAGAAGAGUGAAAUAGUACCUGAAACCGUGCGCCUACAAGCGGUCGGAGCAUAGCAAUAUGUGACGGCGUGCCUUUUGCAUAAUGAGCCUACGAGUUACUCCUUACUGGCAAGGUUAAGCACUUAAGUUGCGGAGCCGUAGCGAAAGCGAGUUCUAACAGAGCGAACAUAGUCAGUAGGGGUAGACGCGAAACUUUGUGAUCUAUCCAUGGGCAGGUUGAAGGUUUGGUAACACAAACUGGAGGACCGAACUCAUUAGCGUUGAAAAGCUAUGGGAUGACCUGUGGAUAGGGGUGAAAGGCCAAUCAAACUGAGAGAUAGCUCGUUCUCCCCGAAAUGUUUUUAGGAACAGCCUCGUAUAAAGAGUUAUCAUAGAGGUAGAGCUACUAAUUGGGCUAGGGGGCUUCACCGCCUACCAAACCCUAAUAAACUCCGAAUGCUAUGAUAUAUCUACGGGAGUGAGGCUGUGGGCGCUAAGGUCCAUGGCCGAGAGGGAAAUAACCCAGAUUAACAGCUAAGGUCCCUAAUCGUAUGUUAAGUUGAACAAACGAAGUUCAAAUCCUAUAACAGCCAGGAUGUUGGCUUGGAAGCAGCCAUUCAUUUAAAGAGUGCGUAACAGCUCACUGGUCGAGGGUUUGAGCACGGAAAAUAAUCGGGCAUCAAACAUACAACCGAAGCUUUAGGAUCACCACUAGGUGGUGUAUCGGUAGGGGAGCAUUCUAAACUGCAUUGAAGGUGUAUCGCGAGGUAUGCUGGAGCGUUUAGAAAAGAAAAUGUAGGCAUAAGUAACGAUAAAAUAGGUGAAAAACCUAUUCGCCGUAAGACUAAGGGUUCCUGAUCAACGCUAAUCGGAUCAGGGUUAGUCGGGUCCUUAGGCAAAGCCGAGAGGCGUAGCUGAUGGCAAACUGGUGAAUAUUCCAGUACCUGCU